rnacentral:tRNA from 1 species
ACCUGGAUGGCUCAGUCAGUUAAGCAUCUGACUUUAGCUCAGGUCAUGAUCUCAUGGUUCGUGAGUUCAAGUCCCACAUCAGGCU